rnacentral:rRNA from 1 species
CGAGCGGACCGACGGGAGCUUGCUCCCUUAGGUCAGCGGCGGACGGGUGAGUAACACGUGGGUAACCUGCCUGUAAGACUGGGAUAACUCCGGGAAACCGGGGCUAAUACCGGAUGCUUGAUUGAACCGCAUGGUUCAAUCAUAAAAGGUGGCUUUUAGCUACCACUUACAGAUGGACCCGCGGCGCAUUAGCUAGUUGGUGAGGUAACGGCUCACCAAGGCGACGAUGCGUAGCCGACCUGAGAGGGUGAUCGGCCACACUGGGACUGAGACACGGCCCAGACUCCUACGGGAGGCAGCAGUAGGGAAUCUUCCGCAAUGGACGAAAGUCUGACGGAGCAACGCCGCGUGAGUGAUGAAGGUUUUCGGAUCGUAAAACUCUGUUGUUAGGGAAGAACAAGUACCGUUCGAAUAGGGCGGCACCUUGACGGUACCUAACCAGAAAGCCACGGCUAACUACGUGCCAGCAGCCGCGGUAAUACGUAGGUGGCAAGCGUUGUCCGGAAUUAUUGGGCGUAAAGCGCGCGCAGGCGGUUUCUUAAGUCUGAUGUGAAAGCCCCCGGCUCAACCGGGGAGGGUCAUUGGAAACUGGGGAACUUGAGUGCAGAAGAGGAGAGUGGAAUUCCACGUGUAGCGGUGAAAUGCGUAGAGAUGUGGAGGAACACCAGUGGCGAAGGCGACUCUCUGGUCUGUAACUGACGCUGAG